GCAGAAGACAACGGAACCAGGACAUUGGAGUUUAAAGACAAGGUGUCAGUCCAUAACAAAAGUGUGUAUAAGUUUCAUGCACUCAAAAGGAGCUCUAAAUGAAGGCGAAAGAUGGAAGGAUUAGGUGAAGUAUGAAGAGCACUAUGUUCAGAAAGAUACAUGCCAUAUUUCAUCCCAUCUCUCAGAGGAGGAGCUUUUCGGAUGGGAUCCCUACUUACAACGGCUCUCCAGUCCGGCUGAUCCGUAGCACUUCAAUGUUCGUGAUCGGAGGCGAGGAGCACAACUUCAGUGAGCCACUCAAAAAAAGCAAGAGUACCACCAGCAUUGAUUCGGCUACCUGUGGACAAAUGAAGGAGGAAGAAAGGGCAUGGAUGUACUCCAAGACCCAAGACUGCUUGCAGUACCUACAAGAUCUGUUAGCCUUGCGGAAAAAAUACCUCGAGAGCAUCAAAGACCUGAAGUUUAUGGACAGAGGAUCUUCUUCAUCCAUGAAAUCAUCCAAGAACAAAAAAAUGUCACCAGCCCCAUCUCCUCAUGCACAAUUGUCCAAGGUCUCAACAGCAAAAAAAGUUUCCCAGUUCAGCUCAGAGGUAGCUGAAGCAAUUGCUUAUUUUGAUGCAAUUAUUGCAGAGCUGGAUGCAGAAAGGCAUAGAAAAAUAAUUGUGAGAGAUCAUCCACAUGCAG
rnacentral:lncRNA from 11 species